AGAGACUGGAGUGAUGCAGCUGCAAACCAAAAAAAGCCAAGGAUUGUCAGCAAACCAACGGAAUCUAGGAAGAGGCAAGGAAGGAUUCUACCCUACAGACUCAAAGGGAUCAUAGCCCUGCUGACAACUUGAUUUCAGACUUCUGGUCUCCAAAACUACUCAACACUAUGAAUGGAAGUUGGAGGUAUGCAUGAGGCCUGAAGAAAUAUAGGAAUAUAAUCAUUAUAGAAGUUCCAGAGGACUGUUGCCAUCAACGACUACAUGACGCUCAGGCCACUACAUUCUUAUGCCUGUCCCUUUUGUACAGGCAGAUUCUAAUGCUUGAUGGAGUCACAAAGUAUCACUGUGGGAAAAUGACCAGUGACUUCAAGAUUUCAGGACCUCCAGGAACUGAAGAAGUUCUAUUACCAGACUGAACUGGAAAUAUGAAAGAAAUUAAAAUCUUGGGAAGACAAUGGACAGCUGAAGUUACAAGAAAAUCUUUUAUCUUUAUGUUAUCUCUCAUGAAAAAUAAAAUAAUUUCAAC